rnacentral:rRNA from 1 species
AGAAUCAACGCUGGCGGCGCGCUUAACACAUGCAAGUCGCACGAGAAAGCUGGAGCAAUCUGGUGAGUAAAGUGGCGCACGGGUGAGUAACACGUGGGUGAUCUACCUUCUUGUGGGGAAUAACCCUGGGAAACCGGGGCUAAUACCGCAUAAGCCCGAGAGGGGAAAGCAGCGAUGCGCUGGAAGAGGAGCCCGCGGUCGAUUAGCUUGUGGCAGGGUAUGGCCUACAAGGCAUUGAUCGAUAGCCGGCCUGAGACGGGCACGACGACGACGCUAGGACGACUGAACACGGCCAGACUCGUACGGAGCAGCGAGUGGGAAUCGUGCACGAAGUAGGGGAACCUGAUGCGAGCGACGCGCG